AAGAAGAAGCUAAGAAUAAGAAUAGGGGCUGCUUGUUAGGCAGCCCAGCAAGAGAGCACCUGUCAGCCGGAGCCUCCCGUGAACCUUUCAGCAACGUUGUCAGCGGCAUUGCCUCUUCCUCUGACCGGUCCCAGUCCAACCAAACCCAGCCAACAGGAAGCAGCCUGGAUUGUGCUAUCAUUCAGUCAGUCGACAAACGCUGAGUCUAUACUGCACACUCUGCACCUGAUUCCCUACUGGAAACCAAGCUUCUUCCAGGGAACGGGGUGGGACAGGAACCGAGGGGUCAUGUGCCCUGGGCUGGGCCGGAGAAGAGGGUCAGGACAGCCCUCCACUGCCAGGCCCGGAGUGUACCCUGCACCUGAGCCCGUGGUGAUGCACCUGUCACCGCAAAACAUUCUACAGUGAUCAGGGGAACUUCUACCAUGAUUUAGGCAAACGAGUGUUGGCUGUGUGAUGGAGAUGGUGAUUGUGGUUUACACAAGAUUCACAAACUCAUCAAUGUGCACUAAAGGACAAUCCUAAAAAAAUCGAUUCUGCCCACAGAUACCUGGUAUGAUCUGAGUCUUUCUCAACUCUAAAGCCAGAACAGAUACUGCCCACCCUCUGGGGGAAGGAUCCCUUCUCUCCCCAGUGCAGGUGGGACAACCUGGGGUGUGGCUCCCCUGCUCCCCUCUCUGCCCAAAGCAUCCAUCCAUCCAUCCAUCCAUCCAAGUUCUUGGGAGCACCUCCCGCUUGCCACUGGGGACUUUCUGGAAGCUGGGAGACGCUGGCCCGGGACCCAGCCAGAUUAUUCUCAAUAGCCCCUUCUCUCAAAGGGAGGCAGUAGGCUGCGGGCUUCCCAACCCAGGGGUGAAGAACAAAGAGAUAGGACAGCAGCACAAGGACCCAGCGUGCCUGCUUCCCGGCCCUGCGCUCGGCCGCUCCACAGAGAGGGCGACGCGCUGAAAACCUCCGGCCACACACCAGCAACCUCAGCAGCAGCUGCAGCCUCCUCCCCCGAGGACGGCUGGUGCAGGAGCAAGAAGAACAAACCCCGGUAACAACAGCCUCCGCUCUCACCUCCCAGGUGCUUCCCAGGAGCCAGGCUGAGGGCACCACAAGUUCGCUUCAGCCUCACGACCACCUUUGAGGCAGCCACUGUUACUACCCCCCGUUUUCAGAUGAGAAACCACUUAGCCGCUGCCCCUCCUCCAGCCAUGCCAGGGCUGCAGAGCACUUACCAGAGCCAGCCAGAGCUGCAACCUCAGCUCUCAGGGAAGGAGGGUGCUGCUCGGCCUCCCAAACCUGUGGCUCCUGCGCCCAGAGGUCUGGGAAACGGCUCCACAAAUGCACAUUCACAGCCAGCGACGUCAAAACUAGCGUCCUGUAACUGUUCCGUUUUCAAAAUAAAGAAGGAAUGGAGGGUCGUGCCGCUCGCCACGCAGUCCUGGCCUGGCAUUAGGGACUUGUUUUGAGAGUCGGAGCAACCUUGAACUAGUCCCCAACUCUCCUAGGCCUCUCGUUCCUGGGUCCCCAAACCUGGAGUAGGCGUUGGCGUCGAGGGGGGCUUCUGGGUCAGCCAGGUCCCAGCCUUUCUUCUCAACUGGGGGUUCCUCAGGGAACCACAAAACGCAGAUAACUAUGAGUGUCUAUUUCCUUUUUUUUUCUGAGAUGGAGUCUCACUCUGUCGCCCAGGCUGGAGUGCAAUGGCGCGAUCUCAGCUCACUGCAACCUCCGCCUCCCAGGUUUAAGCGAUUCUCCUGCCUCAGCCUCCCGAACAGCUGCAAUUGCAGGCACCUGCCAUUGCGCCCAGCUAAUUGCUGUAUUUUUAGUAGAGUCGGGGUUUCGCCAUGUUGGCCAGGCCGGUCUUGAACUCCUGACCUCGUCAUCCACCUGCCUCGGCCUCCCAAAGCACUGGGAUUCCAGGUGUGAGCCACCGCGCCCGGCCACCAGUGCCUAUUUUCUCACUUCCCUUCGUACCACCCUAAAUGCACAGGAGAGAAGACCCACAAGAGAGAAACGCACAGGAGAGAGUCGCAUACAGCAGAUAACUAGAACGAUAGGUUUCAUUCUCUCCCAGACCCUGGCUGAGAAGAACAGCGAGGUCUAGGUAUGCAUCCAGGCUGCGGCCCAAAUGCCCUGCAGAAACCAUCACAGCAGCUGCCCGCGGGACGCCAACAAGCUGUGGGGCCGGCCCAGCCUGGAAUGAGCAGCCACUGCCAGAGGGGCCCUCGUAGCCCUGCCUGGGGUCGCUUGAAAGCUCUGACCCCUGAGUCAAGGCACUGAAGUGUGGCCACCCCAUCAGUUCUGCACAACAGUUGACAAAGAGCUUUCCCAAACCUGCUCUCGCAGGCCGGGAAGCAACCCUGGGCAGUGGGAGGGCAGAGACUGUCACCCAUUUUACAGCAACAGAGUCUCACCAUCUUGCCAGGCUGGUCUCAAACUCCUGAGUUCACGUGAUCCCCCCACCUCAGUCUCCCAACAUGCUGGGAUUACAGACAUGAGCUACCACACCCAGCUCCAGAAGUGCUCACUUCUAAACUCCUACAGGAACUUCAACCAGUGCGCUUCCUAUGGCAACGGGCACAGUACUCAUAGCCACAAUGAUGACAACAGUAAUGGCUGUGAAUAUGUGUUGAGUGCGUAUAACGUCCUGGGCGUUGGCAUGAGCACUUUAUAUGCACUAUCUCAUCAGACCUCACUAAGAGUUCAUGAGAUUUAAGCGGCUCCAGGGUGAGAUAAAUAAGGCUCUCGUGCCUGCCCGCCCCUCUCUGAACCUAGCCUGCACCUUGCUCAAAGCAGCACUCAGGAAACGUUUGUUGGCGUGGUUUUCGGCUUUAUCUGAACAGCACCUUCACCGAAUGAUUCUACUGAAACUCUCGACAUGGUGGCGGGGACAAGACCUCAGGGCUGGCCAUCACUGCCAUCAGUGUGGUUUUCUGGGUCAUCAUUUGAAACAGGAUGUUCUUGCAUUUAUGUAAUGAUGUACCCAUUAAAACUCCUUGUGAGUAGAAAAGUUUUAAUGACUUCUGGGAGGGAGGGUGUUUUUCUAAGUUCGGGUUUGAUGGGAGCCAGAGGCAGCUCAGGAAAGCGUCUGCGGACGCGCCA